CUUCUGGAUUGUUCUUGAGCCUCAUCCCCUCUUUCAAUUUUCCGAUUAUAUUGGCAUUCCCGAUUUUUGGUCCAUAUGCAUUCUUCAUCAAUUUAAUGCUAUUUUUUCACUUCUCAGCUGGCUAUCGCCAUUUCAGGACGAUUUAUCAAAUCAUUUAGGAAGGUGAAGAAAGAUCUCACCUGAUAAUCAUUCACUCCUAAUUCGAAAGUGAAGAGAACAUGAACAGG